UACGAAGGGGGCUAGCGUUGCUCGGAAUCACUGGGCGUAAAGGGUGCGUAGGCGGGUCUUUAAGUCAGGGGUGAAAUCCCGGAGCUCAACUCCGGAACUGCCUUUGAUACUGGAGAUCUUGAGUCCGGGAGAGGUGAGUGGAACUCCGAGUGUAGAGGUGAAAUUCGUAGAUAUUCGGAAGAACACCAGUGGCGAAGGCGGCUCACUGGCCCGGUACUGACGCUGAGGUGCGAAAGCGUGGGGAGCAAACAGG
rnacentral:rRNA from 1 species